rnacentral:rRNA from 1 species
CAGUAGCCGCGGUAAAACGUAGGUGGCAAGCGUUGUCCGGAAUUAUUGGGCGUAAAGGGCCCGCAGGCGGUUUCUUAAGUCUGAUGUGAAAGCCCCCGGCUCAACCGGGGAGGGUCAUUGGAAACUGGGAAACUUGAGUGCAGAAGAGGAGAGUGGAAUUCCACGUGUAGCGGUGAAAUGCGUAGAGAUGUGGAGGAACACCAGUGGCGAAGGCGACUCUCUGGUCUGUAACUGACGCUGAGGAGCGAAAGCGUGGGGAGCGAACAGGAUUAGAUACCCGUGUAGUCCCUGUCUCUUAUAC